rnacentral:rRNA from 1 species
AGAGUUUGAUCCUGGCUCAGGAUGAACGCUAGCGGCAGGCCUAACACAUGCAAGUCGAACGGCAGCGGGAAGGAGCUUGCUCCUUUGCCGGCGAGUGGCGCACGGGUGCGUAACGCGUAUACAACCUACCUUAUACAGGGGUAUAGCCCAGGGAAACUUGGAUUAACACCCCAUAGUAAUAUGUUUUGGCAUCAUUACAUAUUUAAAACUACGGUGGUAUAAGAUGGGUAUGCGUCCCAUUAGCUUGUUGGUGUGGUAACGGCACACCAAGGCAACGAUGGGUAGGGGCCCUGAGAGGGGGAUCCCCCACACUGGUACUGAGACACGGACCAGACUCCUACGGGAGGCAGCAGUGAGGAAUAUUGGACAAUGGGCGGGAGCCUGAUCCAGCCAUGCCGCGUGCAGGAAGACUGCCCUAUGGGUUGUAAACUGCUUUUAUACGGGAAGAAACCCACCUACGUGUAGGUGGCUGACGGUACCGUAAGAAUAAGGACCGGCUAACUCCGUGCCAGCAGCCGCGGUAAUACGGAGGGUCCGAGCGUUAAUCGGAAUUACUGGGCGUAAAGCGCACGCAGGCGGUUUGUUAAGCUAGAUGUGAAAGCCCCGGGCUCAACCUGGGACGGUCAUUUAGAACUGGCAGACUAGAGUCUUGGAGAGGGGAGUGGAAUUCCAGGUGUAGCGGUGAAAUGCGUAGAUAUCUGGAGGAACAUCAGUGGCGAAGGCGACUCCCUGGCCAAAGACUGACGCUCAUGUGCGAAAGUGUGGGUAGCGAACAGGAUUAGAUACCCUGGUAGUCCACACCGUAAACGCUGUCUACUAGCUGUUUGUGGAUUUAAUCCGUGAGUAGCGAAGCUAACGCGAUAAGUAGACCGCCUGGGGAGUACGGCCGCAAGGUUAAAACUCAAAUGAAUUGACGGGGGCCCGCACAAGCGGUGGAGCAUGUGGUUUAAUUCGAUGCAACGCGAAGAACCUUACCAGGCCUUGACAUCCUUGGAACUUUCUAGAGAUAGAUUGGUGCCUUCGGGAGCCAAGUGACAGGUGCUGCAUGGCUGUCGUCAGCUCGUGUCGUGAGAUGUUGGGUUAAGUCCCGCAACGAGCGCAACCCUCAUCCUUAGUUGCCAUCACGUUUGGGUGGGCACUCUAAGGAAACUGCCGGUGGUAAGCCGGAGGAAGGUGGGGAUGACGUCAAGUCCUCAUGGCCCUUACGGGUAGGGCUACACACGUGCUACAAUGGCAGUGACAAUGGGUUAAUCCCCAAAAACUGUCUCAGUUCGGAUUGUCGUCUGCAACUCGACGGCAUGAAGGUGGAAUCGCUAGUAAUCGUGGAUCAGCAUGCCACGGUGAAUACGUUCCCGGGCCUUGUACACACCGCCCGUCACAUCAUGGGAAUUGGUUCUACCCGAAGACGCUGUGCUAACUUCGGAGGCAGGCGGCCACGGUAGGAUCAGUGACUGGGAUGAAGUCGUAACAAGGUAGCCGUAGGGGAACCUGCGGCUG